UACGGAGGAGGCAAGCGUUAUCCGGAAUUAUUGGGCGUAAAGCGCGCGUAGGCGGACCUGCAAGUCGGGGGUGAAAGCCCGAGGCUCAACCUCGGAACUGCCUUCGAUACUGCGGGUCUCGAGUCCGGGAGAGGUGAGUGGAAUUCCUAGUGUAGAGGUGAAAUUCGUAGAUAUUCGGAGGAACACCAGUGGCGAAGGCGGCUCACUGGCUCGGUACUGACGCUGAGGUGCGAAAGCGUGGGGAGCAAACAGG
rnacentral:rRNA from 1 species